rnacentral:rRNA from 1 species
AUAGAUACCCUGGUAGUCCACGCCCUAAACGAUGCGAACUGGAUGUUGGGUACAUUACGGUACUCAGUGUCGAAGCUAACGCGUUAAGUUCGCCGCCUGGGGAGUACGGUCGCAAGACUGAAACUCAAAGGAAUUGACGGGGGCCCGCACAAGCGGUGGAGUAUGUGGUUUAAUUCGAUGCAACGCGAAGAACCUUACCUGGCCUUGACAUCUGUCGAAUCCUGCAGAGAUGCGGGAGUGCCGCAAGGAACGACAAGACAGGUGCUGCAUGGCUGUCGUCAGCUCGUGUCGUGAGAUGUUGGGUUAAGUCCCGCAACGAGCGCAACCCUUGUCCCUAGUUGCCAGCACGUAAUGGUGGGAACUCUAGGGAGACUGCCGGUGACAAACCGGAGGAAGGUGGGGAUGACGUCAAGUCCCCAUGGCCCUUACGGCCAGGGCUACACACGUACUACAAUGGUCGGUACAGAGGGUUGCGAAGCCGCGAGGCGAAGCCAAUCCCAGAAACCGAUCCCAGUCCGGAUUGGAGUCUGCAACUCG